UGAUCAGAAUGUAUGAAAAAAAAUCCCGAAAAGAAUCAACUUCAUGGCUGUCCGGCAGCCGGUGGAGGCGGCGACGAGUAGUCGUAGGCCGGCAGCUUCCACGUCGCCGGUGGUGGAGGCGAGAGGUACCGGUCCUCUGGUGACACCUCGUAGUUGGGCGACCCUGGUAGGUCGUAGUGUGGCGGCGUUGUCGGCUCUUCGUAGGCUGGCGGUGGCGGCGACAGGUACCGGUCCUCCGGUGACACCUCGUAGUAUGGCGGAGGUGGAGACUCUUGGUAAGCUGGGGGUGGCGGUGACUGGUACCGGUCCUCCGGCGACACCUCGUAGUGGGGUGGAGGUGGAGACUCUUGGUAAGCCGGGGGUGGCGGUGAGUGGUACCGGUCCUCCGGUGACACCUCGUAGUAGGGAGCUGGCACCUCGUAGUGGGGAGGCGUUGUCGGCUCUUGGUACGCUGGAGGUGGCGGCGAGAGGUACCUUUCCUCAGGUGAGACCUCGUAGUACGGAGGUGGGG
rnacentral:lncRNA from 1 species